UUGAAACGAAUAUUCCUACCACAUCUUCAUCCUAUUCACCAUUUGGGUCCAAUCUAGGUUAAUAGUUUUUUAAAGCAACACCAAACUACGACCCAAUUUAGGAAAGCUUUUAGAGCAUUGCGAAGAUGAGUGCACCUCUUAAUUCAUUAGAUAAUCGGGUUCCACCAUAGAGGUAUGGUACUAAGCGAAAUGGGCUGGGAUUUCUCCUAAGCAUCACUAGAAGUCUCGCAAACUUAAGAUGCCUGCAGUCUGUUGAACCAUAAAUAAUAUUUUGUUUCGAUCCUACUGUGGAUAAACAUCCGGAUAUUGUGACUUUAAUUACAAUG
rnacentral:lncRNA from 1 species